GAACAACCUCCCCUGAUUAUUUGAUUCCUGUAGGUGAGGUAAGAUUAAUUUACAGGGUUACCCAAAAAGAUGAGACUGUAAAGACGAUGUGAGAUUUUUUAAAUAUGACGACCCAAGUUUGUAUUAAGCCUUGAAUGUCGUUUUUACAUGGCUUAUUUAAUGAUUUGCCAAAGAAAGAGAGAAGUUUAUUUUAUAGUUGACGGGAAUCAUGAAUAUAAGGAAACAGACAAUGUAAAUUCCGUACAGUCGUCUCUGAAGUCUCAUCCUUUGUGAUUAACCCUGGAGCUAGUCACGGUAGGUUGCUACUUUUCUGAAAAAGAGAGAGGAUGGUGGGUCAAGGGAUUAUUUUAUAAAAUUAAAUAAUUUCAGGUUUUUGUUGUUUGUUUGUUUGUGUUGAUCGGCCUGGUGGCAGCUGAACCUUAUGGGUAUAUUCCACACCAUGGGGGCCCGCAUUGUACCAAGGAAUUGGUGACCAUAUCUGCUACACUAUGUAAACUGGAUUACAACAAGGAAUGCACAACAGAAACAAAAGUCAUUGGAGAUCAUGUGAAGUACGAGAAGGGAGAAUGUGAAGAGGUGGAGAUUUGUACACCAGUACACUUUGUUCCUAGACUAGGUCACUACCGGAAGCGCGAAGCAUCCGGAUAUGAGAGCCCUGAAUGUGAGAAGGCGACUAAGGAAGUGUGUAAGCAGGUUCCGGUCAGCACACCUGUAGAGAAGGAAGUAGAGAUAUGUGUCAGCACUCCAGUUGAGGUUUGUGAACCCGUGGAGCAGAAAGUUCCCAAGAUCACCUGUGAAAAACUAAAGCACUGAAAUCUUGAUUCUUGAAUGUAUGCGCUUCCAAUCAUCACAAUGCUGUCAAAGUUCUGUGUUCAAAUUAUGCAUUAAUCAAAAUUCGUAAAUAAAUUUUUAAUCCUAUAAUAUGCUUUCAUUGGAUUUGAAGCUAUUGCACAUCCGUGAAAUUUCACCAUUAAUUCUAGUAUUAUUAAAUGGUAAAUUCAAUAUUUAAUACAUGGGUUGGCGUUAAUAUCAAAACAAUGAAGACGAUUUGUCUAUUUAUGUUUUGAUUUCUCAAUGCUUUGUUCAAACUAUUAUUUGAACAUUAAGCGAAUGUGUUAAUAGACGCUUCUAUUUAUGUUUUGAUUUCUCAA